rnacentral:rRNA from 1 species
GAGUUUGAUCCUGGCUCAGGAUGAACGCUGGCGGCGUGCCUAACACAUGCAAGUCGAACGGAGAGCUUAAGUGGAAGUUUUCGGAUGGAAGCUUAUGUUCUUAGUGGCGGACGGGUGAGUAACGCGUGGGCAACCUGCCUCAUACAGGGGGAUAACAGACGGAAACGUCUGCUAAGACCGCAUAAGUCGGAUUUACCGCAUGGUAGGUUCGGGAAAAGAGCAAUCCGGUAUGAGAUGGGCCUGCGUCCGAUUAGCUGGUUGGUAAGGUAAUGGCUUACCAAGGCGACGAUCGGUAGCCGGACUGAGAGGUCGGACGGCCACAUUGGGACUGAGACACGGCCCAAACUCCUACGGGAGGCAGCAGUGGGGGAUAUUGCACAAUGGAGGAAACUCUGAUGCAGCGACGCCGCGUGAGUGAAGAAGUAUUUCGGUAUGUAAAGCUCUAUCAGCAGGGAAGAUGAUGACG